UACGUAGGGGGCAAGCGUUGUCCGGAAUUACUGGGCGUAAAGAGCUCGUAGGCGGUUUGUCGCGUCGUCCGUGAAAACUUGGGGCUCAACCCCAAGCUUGCGGGCGAUACGGGCAGACUUGAGUACUGCAGGGGAGACUGGAAUUCCUGGUGUAGGCGGUGAAAUGCGCAGAUAUCAGGAGGAACACCGGUGGCGAAGGCGGGUCUCUGGGCCGAUACUGACGCUGAGGAGCGAAAGCGUGGGGAGCGAACAGG
rnacentral:rRNA from 1 species